CGACUUCUGACAACGCGGAAGCUGUCGGCCAAUCGCAGGAGUGAGCGCGCGUUGGAGCGCCGUAGGCCACGCCCACAAACCAGCUGCUUCUCAGCCUCAGUUCGGGCUCACCACACUGGAUUCGGCUUUUUUUAAUGCCCUCCAUUUGUUCUUUUGAAUUCCUGCUCCAAUGUCCAACGUCAUUUUUUUACUUCGUUUGGGACAAGUCAUUCGGAAGGGGAAAGAAAGGAGACGAUAUGAUGCCAAAUGUCCACCUCUGAUUGGAAGGUCCGGCACAUCACUGAACAUAGAAAUUGCCCAACGUUCGGUAACGUCAGUGCUGACAAAGAGUCAGACUACUGCUGAAAAUUUCUCCUUCUGCACCAUUGACCAAAAAUGAAAGCAGAGUGCCCAUUCCGGACCGGCACUGUGAUUUCCUCUGUCAGCUCCACAAACCAA